rnacentral:tRNA from 1 species
AAGUUUAGGUUAGCCAAACCAAGGGCCUUCAAAGCCCUAAA